rnacentral:tRNA from 7 species
UCCUCGAUAGCUCAAUGGCAGAGCAUCCGGCUGUUAACCGGAGGGUUGCAGGUUCGAGUCCCGCUCGGGGAG